rnacentral:rRNA from 1 species
CUAUACAUGCAGUCGAGCGGACAGAUGGGAGCUUGCUCCCUGAUGUUAGCGGCGGACGGGUGAGUAACACGUGGGUAACCUGCCUGUAAGACUGGGAUAACUCCGGGAAACCGGGGCUAAUACCGGAUGCUUGUUUGAACCGCAUGGUUCAAACAUAAAAGGUGGCUUCGGCUACCACUUACAGAUGGACCCGCGGCGCAUUAGCUAGUUGGUGAGGUAACGGCUCACCAAGGCAACGAUGCGUAGCCGACCUGAGAGGGUGAUCGGCCACACUGGGACUGAGACACGGCCCAGACUCCUACGGGAGGCAGCAGUAGGGAAUCUUCCGCAAUGGACGAAAGUCUGACGGAGCAACGCCGCGUGAGUGAUGAAGGUUUUCGGAUCGUAAAGCUCUGUUGUUAGGGAAGAACAAGUACCGUUCGAAUAGGGCGGUACCUUGACGGUACCUAACCAGAAAGCCACGGCUAACUACGUGCCAGCAGCCGCGGUAAUACGUAGGUGGCAAGCGUUGUCCGGAAUUAUUGGGCGUAAAGGGCUCGCAGGCGGUUUCUUAAGUCUGAUGUGAAAGCCCCCGGCUCAACCGGGGAGGGUCAUUGGAAACUGGGGAACUUGAGUGCAGAAGAGGAGAGUGGAAUUCCACGUGUAGCGGUGAAAUGCGUAGAGAUGUGGAGGAACACCAGUGGCGAAGGCGACUCUCUGGUCUGUAACUGACGCUGAGGAGCGAAAGCGUGGGGAGCGAACAGGAUUAGAUACCCUGGUAGUCCACGCCGUAAACGAUGAGUGCUAAGUGUUUAA